CCCAGACUCCUACGGGAGGCAGCAGUGGGGAAUAUUGCACAAUGGGGGGAACCCUGAUGCAGCGACGCCGCGUGGGUGAAGGAGCGUUUCGGCGCGUAAAGCCCUAUCGGCAGGGAAGAAGGAGGACGGUACCUGACUAAGAAGCCCCGGCUAACUACGUGCCAGCAGCCGUGGUAAUACGUAGGGGGCAAGCGUUAUCCGGAUUUACUGGGUGUAGAGGGGGCGCAGGCGACAGCGCAAGCCAGGAGUGAAAGCCCGGGGCCCAACCCCGGGACUGCUCUUGGAACUGCGCGGCUGGAGUGCAGGAGGGGCAGGCGGAAUUCCUGGUGUAGCGGUGAAAUGCGUAGAUAUCAGGAGGAACACCGGUGGCGAAGGCGGCCUGCUGGACUGCGACUGACGUUGAGGCCCGAAAGCGUGGGGAGCAAACAGGAUUAGAUACCCGCGUA
rnacentral:rRNA from 1 species